rnacentral:rRNA from 1 species
GAUGAACGCUGGCGGCGUGCCUAAUACAUGCAAGUAGAACGCUGAAGCUUGGUGCUUGCACCGAGCGGAUGAGUUGCGAACGGGUGAGUAACGCGUAGGUAACCUGCCUGGUAGCGGGGGAUAACUAUUGGAAACGAUAGCUAAUACCGCAUAACAGUCGACAUUGCAUGAUGUUGAUUUGAAAGGGGCAAAUGCUCCACUACCAGAUGGACCUGCGUUGUAUUAGCUAGUUGGUGAGGUAACGGCUCACCAAGGCGACGAUACAUAGCCGACCUGAGAGGGUGAUCGGCCACACUGGGACUGAGACACGGCCCAGACUCCUACGGGAGGCAGCAGUAGGGAAUCUUCGGCAAUGGACGGAAGUCUGACCGAGCAACGCCGCGUGAGUGAAGAAGGUUUUCGGAUCGUAAAGCUCUGUUGUAAGAGAAGAACGAGUGUGAGAGUGGAAAGUUCACACUGUGACGGUAACUACCAGAAA